GGCAGGGAGAGCAGAGGAGGGGCUGGGAGGGGAGAGCAGGGGCGGGCCGGGGCAAGAGGUCUCGCCCCAGAGUGCGCCUGGGCGGGUCCUCACACGCAUCCUCCAGGAGAUUGGGGGAACCCUGUUCCCUCCAAGAGCGGAGGCCCCAGGCCCCCCCACGGGCGGAGGGAGAGUGCCAGAGGGUCGGCGGGAACCCCGGGGCCGCGGGCACAGCGGGCAGCGGGGGGACGCGGGGGUGCAGAGCGGCGAGAAGGCUGCGGAUGCCCGCCCGGCCCCGGGCGCCUGGGCGCAGGGCUCUCCCCCUCCCGGCCGCCCCCUGCCCUCCCGGACUGCAAGGCUGGAGGCCGCCUGACCUGGUGCUGUUUUCUGUGGCCUGUUUGGUGGCAGGAAUCUUACGUCCGUCCGUUGAAGAUAGGACCCCGUUUUUCAACAGAAUUCCCCAGAGUUCAGGGAACGAGUUAGGUCCACGGGAUCACCAUCGGUUACUGUUCGCCGAGACGUCCCUGAGGCCCCACCGAGAAGGCCAGCGAUGUGCCGGAGACGCCUGCUCGUGAUGCGGGCCGUGGCAUCGCGUGAUGGCCCGGCUCAGCAAACAGCUCACCUGAGGCCACCAUCCUGUCCCUGUUUCUCGCCUCCAGCACAGCAUCCAACUGAUCCCUCCCGUGGUGAGAUGGAGGCUGAAGGCGAGGAACUCCUGUUUCACAGGACCUGGCCGUCCGUGCUGAGGAGCUCAAGACCCUGAAGUCACUACCCUGUGCACAAAAGGUCUUCAGCCGCGAGCGAGCAACAGCUGCAGGGCUUGAGGUAGUGAGUUCCUGGUAGAAAAUGCUCCUUCGGCCCCUGCUCUGAGCUCCACUUUCUUUAAAAUGCACAUCCAUGAAUUGUCCGAGGGUCUACAAGGUAAGAAAGACGAAGGCGAUCCCUCUUGGGCGUGGGAUACUACCUCAGAGGGAGCAGGAGGUCUUCCGUUUGUCUUUUGUGUCUGGGCGGCUCAGGUGUCCGCAGUUCCUGGGAUGGAAGAUGGAUUUGCCAAUUUAGGGAUGGGAGCUCAUGGGGUCUGAGCCCCAUGACAAGCACUAAGCUACGUGAUUUGUAUGCAUCAGUUUACACGAUCCCCGAGUUCCACCAUCAUCUCUAUUUUACAGGUCGGCCGCGGCUGUGACACCUUGUGCGCGCGUGUGGGUGGGCGUCCUGAAGAUGGUGGUUUGCUGCUCAGCCCGGCAGAUGAGACUCAGAGAGGCUAAGCGAUAAGCCCAAAGUCAAGAGCUCGUGCCUGGAAGGAUGUGAAGAUGUGUCCAAGUCGUGCAGUCCCUGCUCUUGCCACUGCACCAUCCCUGAGUCCCAGGUUCUCCGCUGCUUGGCCCCUCCCAUCGCCGGGUUAGCCUUGACUUGAACAAGAGCUUCUGGGAUCAUCAGUAUAAAGGAUAACUCCAGGCGGUGAGAUUUUCUUUUCAGUGUUCUCACCUCCCUCUUAGGGGAUGCUUGCUAGUACAGCAUGUACCAUGUUGCCAGGGAAGUCAGCUGCUGCGGAGUCCCGGGCCCCCGUGGUGGUCUCAGGAGUGAGUCUCUCCACUUCAAGGCAGGUGUGGCUACCUAGAGAGCUCAAGUUACAGACACUUUGGAUAUCAGAGGACAAGGCGCCUGCCUGCCCAGGUAGGCCGUAGAGGAGGAGGACAAAGGAGGUGAGGCCACGGUGGAGCAUCGUAGAGCACUCGGCCGGGAAGACGGAGGGAGCGCCCGUGUGAACGGAGGACUGCGGUGGGGUGGCACCGCCGGGCAUGAGCCCCUUGUCCUGCCUCUCUGCCCUGGGCCCAGACGGAUCCCAAGGCUCAGCUGCAUCCCCAGCAAGCGAGUCAGAACAGAGCCCGGGUAAGCACGGCCAGCUGAUGGGCGCCCACGCUCCCAGCGCAAGCUACUCUCCAUCCCAGAUCUCAUGGGCCCCCCCUGGGGAGAUGAGGGAGGCCCUUCGGAUGCGGAGGAAAAAGACCGAGGCAGCCCAGAGUGGUCUGCACUUCGAGUUACAUUGACUACGUGAGUUAUGUUAGAUCAUAAAACACGUGCAACCAAACACCACUCUUCCCAGAACUACGUUAACUGGUAGCCGGUGAAGAAAAGGGUCUGAAGGGCUUGUCAUGGGAGGGUCAGGGGUGCUUGCCUCUCUGGAUGGUGGGUUCUGAGUGUUGGCUUUUUUUCUGUUUUUGUUUGGCCACAUUUUCUGAUCUUCAGUUAUGAUUCCAACUGCUUUCGUAACAACAAGAAAAAGAAAACCGCAUGAGCUUAAUGAAAGAAAUAAUAAAAUAUUUUUUUUAAGAUUUAUUCAGGGUGUUUUACUUUUUUUUUUUUUUUCUAGCAUACACAGCCUAGAACAAGAACAACUAACUGGCUGAAAAUAAGUUGAACGUGUGAGAUAAAAAGCCAAACCUGGACAGCAGAGUUGUUCCCGUUCGCAGGGCUGUGGUUAGGCCCGGUUGACCCCAGAGCAGCAUGAGGAUGGACCCCCGGCCUGCGGAGGUGGGGCCUGCAGAGAACGGGAUCCAGUCUACUCUGUGCAACGGAGCCUGUCGGGUGGGGUUCCGUCUCUGCCUCGGGAGGUGAGAACUGUGGCGCGCCGUCUCAAACUCUCGGUGCAUAGAUACGCAGGGACUGUGGAUCAUCUCGUGGGUAGAAGGUGGUCACUCACUGUCCUCAGAUAAUGCGACACCGUGAACCAGUCCCUGGGGCGCAUUCGUCUUCGACACCAUUCUGGUAGCCGGGAUCGCACUUUGGCAGGUAACGUUUUCAUAUUUUACUGUUAAAAUUGCAUGAAGAGGGCAGCCCGGGUGGCUCAGCGGUUUAGCGCUGCCUUCAGC